rnacentral:rRNA from 1 species
GACGAACGCUGGCGGCGUGCCUAAUACAUGCAAGUCGAACGCUGAAGGAGGAGCUUGCUUCUCUGGAUGAGUUGCGAACGGGUGAGUAACGCGUAGGUAACCUGCCUGGUAGCGGGGGAUAACUAUUGGAAACGCUAGCUAAUACCGCAUAAUAGUAGAUGUUGCAUGACAUUUGCUUAAAAGGUGCAAUUGCAUCACUACCAGAUGGACCUGCGUUGUAUUAGCUAGUUGGUGGGGUAAUGGCUCACCAAGGCGACGAUACAUAGUCGACCUGGGAGGGGUGACGGCCAAACUGGGACUUGGACACGGCCCAGAACCCUACGGGAGGCAGCAGGAGGGAAACUUCGGCAAUGGGCGGAAGGCUGACCGGGCAACGCCGCGGGAGUGAAGAAGGGUUUCGGAUCGUAAAGCUCUGUUGUAAGAGAAGAACGAGAGUGGGAGUGGAAAGUUCACACUGUGACGGUAUCUUACCAGAAAGGGACGGCUAACUACGUG